GUCUUUAUGAAGGUAUGUAAAGUUUGACCUGCCCACUGAGUUGUUGAAUGGCCGCGGUAUUUCUGACCGUGCGAAGGUAGCAUAAUCACUUGUCUUUUAAUUGAAGGCUUGAAUGAAUGGUUGGACGAAAAACUUUCUGUUUCAAAUAAAAAUUUUGAAUUUAACUUUAAAGUGAAAAGGCUUUAAUGAGUUAAAAAGACGAUAAGACCCUAUAAAUCUUUACAUUCUUUUUUGUGUUUUUAAAUUUGUUAGUUUAAAUUAAAGCAUAAAUAAAAUGUUGUGUUGGGGCAACAACGAUAUAAUAUAAUUAACUGUUGAAAAAAAAAACAAUAUAUUUUUGUUAGGUUUGAAAAGAUCCUUGUUAGAGAUUUAAAGAUCAAGUUACUUUAGGGAUAACAGCGUUAUUUUUUUUGAGAGUUCUUAUCGAAAAAAGAGUUUGCGACCUCGAUGUUGAAUUAAAAAAUCUUUUUAAUGUAGCAGUUAAUAAAGAAAGUCUGUUCGACUUUUAAUUUUUU
rnacentral:rRNA from 1 species